UGACUGAGUGAUAGAGAGUGAUUGGUGCAAUAUGAUGAACACUAUCAGAUCCAACUUUGAGUAUGGACAAUGAUGAGUGUGUGUAUACGAGCUUUUUAACUCUGAUU
rnacentral:pre_miRNA from 1 species